CCCGCCUCUCCCUCUCCCCGCUUAACACAACUGAAAAGGACCCCAAGUGCGGGAUGCUGGCUGCAAGGCUGGGACCAAACUGGACAGUGGGUUUGGCCCAGGCCUGUCAGAGCAGGGCAAGAGCCAGGGACAGGAAUCGUCGCAGAAGGGACAGCAGUGGGGGGGCCGGGCCACUGCAACCUGCGGCGCACCCGAGGUAAGGACCCCUCCGACGACGGGCUCCCAGCGGCGUCCGCAGCGGGACCGUGCUCCGUCCGGGUCCACGGGGCCCCGAUCCCGCAGCCAGCGCCCGGCGGGAGGCAGGGAAGCGGGAGUCGCGCCCCCUCGACCUCCGCGCUCCGAGGCUCUCCAGCGCCCAGACCCGGAGGAGAGCGCGUGAGCCGGGGGGCGCCGGCCCGGCCCCACGUUUCGCGGGACGCGCUCCCCGCCCCCGACCAACCGGCUCCAGGAGCCUCUCCCGUCCCCGGGCCUCCCGUCCUCACCCCCGCGCGGCCGCGCGGUCCCGGAGGCGCCGCCCAGCAAGGGCGGGAAUCGAGUCCGAGCGCCAAGCUCCCCAAGCCACGCGUGCGGGGCCUCCGGACGCCAGGAGCGCUGGGGGUAGGGGCAGGACGCGGUGCGCGGGAGCCCUCCGAGCCGCUUCCCUUCCAGCGCACCUUUCAACGCGACGCCCCCCGCCCAGGCCCUGCCCUGCAGCGUGGGGCUCCCCGCCGGCCCCGCGCCCCCGCGCCCGCGCGCCCUGUCCUGGCGGGCCGGGGCUGGGUGCGCCCUCGCCGGCGCGAACUCCCGCACUUGGAGCCGGCCCGCGUCCCCGGAAAGCUGCGGGCGGCAGCGCCACCGGAAUCCCACCCCCCGCCCGAGAAAAGUGGGCGUCGGCGCCUCCAUCCCGGGCGACGCCCCCCUCCGCACCCAGCGACACCCGGACUGAGCCGAGCUCGCACCCACCUGCCGGGCCGCCUCCUCCCGCGCUCAGCUGCCCUGGCCGCUCGCUCCCGUCCCGGGGGACCCCGACUGGCGCGUGCCGUGGCGCUGCGGACGGGGUGUCCUUUCUUCCUCGCUCCAGCGCGCUUCGCCAGCGCGUCGCGGUCUCCGUCUUCCCGCUGGAGUUGGCGCUCCGCCCCCGCAGCUCCGCUCGGCGCCUCGGACCCGGCCCGGUGCGCCCCGCCCCGGCCCGCGCUCGGCUCCGCCCCGGGGUCCCCAGCCGGCCCCCGCCCCCGCCCCGCCCCGCCCCGCCCCGCCCGGCGCGGUGGCACGGGGUGGGCGCUCCGCUGCUGCACCUCGUGUGCCCGGGCGCCGAGUUCUGGCUGCGGUGGCGCGUAG
rnacentral:lncRNA from 1 species